GCUGUCAACUAAAAUUGCACGUUUGCUUAGACUUUUUUGCGUGUUGGCGGCUUUAAAUGUCGGAACUAAUGAGGCGCGACGCAACGGUGAGAAAUUUUCGUGUGAAUACAUAAAAACCUAUAUGCCGAAGUAUUUAUUUAAAUGUGAACAUAUACACACAACUAUAGUGUGCAAACAUAUACAAGUACAUAUACACAUACAUAUAUAUGAGUAAAUAAAAAAUUGUUUAUGGAAAAAGAGGGUUUUGUGGUAAAACAUGUAAAAAGAGAUAUAAAUUGAAUUGCUUGGAAGUAAUUAAAGUUAAUUGACAUUGA